rnacentral:misc_RNA from 1 species
GAUGAAGAACGUAGCGAAAUGCGAUACUUGGUGUGAAUUGCAGAAUCCCGUGAACCAUCGAGUCUUUGAACGCAAGUUGCGCCCGAGGCCUCCUGGUCGAGGGCACGUCUGCCUGGGUGUCACGCAUCGUCGCCCCCGCUCCCCUCGGCUCACGAGGGCGGGGGCGGAUACUGGUCUCCCGCGCGCUCCCGCUCGCGGCUGGCCCAAAAUCGAGUCCCCGGCGACGGUCGCCACGACGAGCGGUGGUUGAGAGACCCUCGGACACUGUCGUGCGCGCGCCCGUCGCCCCCGGGAUCUCCUGGACCCUCGGGCAUCGACCUUUCUAGUAUGCUCUCGUUGCGACCCCAGGUCAGGCGGGACUACCCGCUGAGUUUAAGCAUAUCAAUAAGCGGAGGA